rnacentral:lncRNA from 1 species
AAGGACCUGCAAAUACACUGUCAGAAAAGAUCUGGUUUCUGGGUUGCCCAGAAACCCAUUCCCAUGACCGGUCAACGCAGUUUGACUGCUCAUAUCUCUCAAUCUACUAAUGAUGUGGCCCUGUUUCUGGUUUCAGAUCAAAGUACUCAUGACAUAGAACACACUUAUAACAUAAAACAACAACUAUCAAAAAUAGAGAAAGAUCUAGGGCCUCUGACAUAUGACUGUCAGGCCAAAAAUUUUUAGUUUUCUAGAUUUCUAAAAACUCAAAUUUCGAGCACUUUGAUGUUAUGGAUCUAAGUUUUAGCAACCCAGAUAAUUAAAUGACACCCUCUAACAUAACUUUAAACAUCUAACAACAACAUCUAACAUAAAAUACAUAGACCUACAAGUUUAGGGUUUUAUACCUUUUGAAUGCCCAAUCUUUGAAUCUGAUUCUUAAUGAUCUGAUAUUGGUAAGCUAGAAUAUGAUCAUAGCCUAUCUUAUCACUCUCUUUCACUUCAAAUCUCGAAUUUUUAGAGAGAGAAGGAAGUUGACUAAUAUGGUAAUUAAAGUGAUCUUUCUCUCACUUUAGUCUAUAAUAUGUCUUUGAUGCAAUGAACUUGGAUUGACAAAAUGGCUGAUAUUUUUGAUAUAGAGCACAUGCUAGAGCUAGGUUUGGUGAACAACUCUCUUAAGGUU